rnacentral:rRNA from 1 species
UAAGCUCGGGAAACUGGGUCUAAUACCGGAUACACCUCAUGGACUGCAUGGUCUGUGGGGGAAAGCUUUUGCGGUGUGGGAUGGGCCCGCGGCCUAUCAGCUUGUUGGUGGGGUGAUGGCCUACCAAGGCGACGACGGGUAGCCGGCCUGAGAGGGUGACCGGCCACACUGGGACUGAGAUACGGCCCAGACUCCUACGGGAGGCAGCAGUGGGGAAUAUUGCACAAUGGGCCCAAGCCUGAUGCAGCGACGCCGCGUGGGGGAUGACGGCCUUCGGGUUGUAAACCCCUUUCAGCACAGACGAAGCGCAAGUGACGGUAUGUGCAGAAGAAGGACCGGCCAACUACGUGCCAGCAGCCGCGGUAAUAC